UACGUAGGCAGCGAGCGUUGUUCGGAGUUACUGGGCGUAAAGGGCGUGUAGGCGGUUGGUUAAGUCUGGUGUGAAAUCUCCCGGCUCAACUGGGAGGGUGCGCCGAAUACUGAAUGACUUGGAGUGCGGGAGAGGAAAGUGGAAUUCCUGGUGUAGCGGUGAAAUGCGUAGAUAUCAGGAGGAACACCGGUGGUGUAGACGGCUUUCUGGACCGUAACUGACGCUGAGACACGAAAGCGUGGGUAGCAAACAGG
rnacentral:rRNA from 1 species